rnacentral:rRNA from 1 species
UACGGAGGGUGCGAGCGUUAAUCGGAAUAACUGGGCGUAAAGGGCACGCAGGCGGGUAUUUAAGUGAGAUGUGAAAUCCCCGGGCUUAACCUGGGAAGAGCAUUUCAGACUGCGAGUCUAGAGUACAGUAGGGAGGGGUAGAAUUCCACGUGUAGCGGUGAAAUGCGUAGAGAUGUGGAGGAAUACCGAAGGCGAGGGCAGCCCCUUGGGAAUGUACUGACGCUCAUGUGCGAAAGCGUGGGGAGCAAACAGG